rnacentral:rRNA from 1 species
AUUGAACGCUGGCGGCAGGCUUAACACAUGCAAGUCGAGCGGGGGAAGGUAGCUUGCUACCGGACCUAGCGGCGGAGGGGUGAGUAAUGCUUAGGAAUCUGCCUAUUAGUGGGGGACAACAUCUCGAAAGGGAUGCUAAUACCGCAUACGUCUUGCGGGAGGAAGCAGGGGAUCUUCGGACCUUGCGCUAAUCGAUGAGCCUAAGUCGGAUAAGAUAGUUGGUGGGUGAAAGGCCUACCAAGGCGACUAUCUGUAGCGGGUCUGAGAGGAUGCUCCGCCACACUGGGACUGAGACACGGCCCAGACUCCUACGGGAGGCAGCAGUGGGGAAUAUUGGACAAUGGGGGGAACGCUGAUCCAGCCAUGCCGCGUGUGUGAAGAAGGCCUUAUGGUUGUAAAGCACUUUAAGCGAGGAGGAGGCUACUUUAGUUAAUACCUAGAGAUAGUGGACGUUACUCGCAGAAUAAGCACCGGCUAACUCUGUGCCAGCCGCCGCCGUAA